ensembl:ncRNA F46B6.16 ncRNA
CACACACACUUGGACUCCUCCCAGUCGUCUUCCGAAAAACGACAACGUCUUCAGGAGACGAAGAAUAUUGUGCGCGCCAGAAAAGUUAAUUAUGGAGCUCUCGGCGACGACCGACGGCGCCACCAAAUCGUAUUACUG